CAAUAGCAUCUUGUUAAGUUGUUGCGGUUAAAACGCUCGUAGUCAGAGCCGGUGGCACGCCGUGCAAAGCCUCGCCCUUGCGCGUGAGGCCCUUCUGGUCCUGUCCGUCUCUCCCUCCCCGCGGGCUGAUGUAAGGUUCGAUGUGACCCUGUUUAAGCGGCCCCAUAAAGGAUGGUCGUCAGGGGCAGUUAAGAAGGUAUUAGAUAAAACUGUGAGAUAAGGGGAAAGGCGGGUUUAAACAGGCACUGGUUUCGCACUAAUAGUAACCCUUGGGGUGGCCAUGGCGUGCUGCCCAUAGGGGCGAGAUCGGAACACCCCGUACCGGUUGAAUCCGGUCGCGGGCUCUCUCGCCCCACAUCACUUUGAAUAAAUUAGCGCGCUCAAAGCAGGUCUACAACAUAUAUUGCAAGGACCUUUUCCACGAAUACUUCAGCAAAGAACGAACGAACAGGCCCACUGUUCUUGGUCGCAGUAAGGGAAUGAUUAAUAGGGGAGAUCGGGGCCAACCACAUGGCGGGGGUAGGGGUGAAAUCCGUUGAUCCUCGCUAGGUGAACUAAAGCGAAAGCAGUUGGCAAGUACUCUUUCUUUGAUCAAGAACGAAAGUCUGGGGAUCGAAGAUGAUCAGAUACCAUCGUAGUCCAGACCCUAAAUGUUGUCGACCAUGGAUGUGACACAGUCCAUCCCGACCCGCCACGCACCUUAUGAGAAAUCAGAAGUGUAUGGACUCCGGGGGGAGUAUGGUCGCAAGACUGAAACUUAAAGGAAUUGACGGAAGAGCACACAAGGAGUGGAGCCUGCGGCUUAAUUUGACUCAACACGGGACAACUCAUUAUGGCAAGAAAGGGACAUGAGGGUCAGGCGAGCAGGCCUUAUCCGAUUCCCUUAGUGGUGGUGCAUGGUCGUUCUUAGUUCGUGGAGUGAUUUGUCUGGUCUAUUCCGCUAACGAGCGAGAACCCGUUUUCCUACUGUUGGGUCCGCCCAGCUCGCCCGUUGAACGGAGGGGUCCAUGGGAUCUCCGCGGGGUAGUAAUACCCAGCGGGGAGCCCGUCAAUGGGUCCCCGAGGGACGUGGGCUGCAAAAUAGCUGGGACGGCUGUCCUUGGGGAACCAACGCCGUUAAGGUGUUGUAAGCGGGUCAAUAACAGGUCAGUGAUGCCCUUAGAUGCCAUAGGCCGCACGCGCGCUACAAUGGUGGGGUAACCGGGCGAACCUGUGCCGUAAGGCGGCGGGGAACCCUGGGAAAACCCUCCUCGUCUGGGACCAUCGGGUGUAACCACCCUUUGCGAACAAGGAAUUUCUAGUAACCGUGGGUCACUAGCCCACGGUGAUUUCGUCCCUGCUCUUUGUACACACCGCCCGUCGCUCCUACCGAUUGGAUUGUCUGGUGAGGCUCAUGGAGCUGCCCGGUUCACUUUAUGGGUUGGCCUUAGUGUGGCCUCCCUUGGGUUCUGAGGUGACGAAGUGGGUCAAACCUCGCGGUCUAGAGGAAGGAGAAGUCGUA
rnacentral:rRNA from 1 species